AUCACUUCUCGGCCUUUUGGCGAAGAUCAAGUGUAGCACCUGCUCUUUAUCAGUUUAAGCCUCUGGUGACUCUUAGAGAUGGCCUAAAUACAUUUUACAAGAUGAGAUAGACAUGAGCCUUUGGAAGGCCAGGGGCAGAAUGUUAUGGUUU
rnacentral:snRNA from 1 species